rnacentral:rRNA from 1 species
UACGUAGGGAGCGAGCGUUGUCCGGAUUUAUUGGGCGUAAAGCGCGCGUAGGCGGCUCGGAAAGUCGGUCGUGAAAUCCUGGGGCUCAACCCCGGAACUGCGUCCGAUACUUCCGAGCUGGAGGCAGGUAGGGGAGAUCGGAAUUCCUGGCGUAGCGGUGAAAUGCGCAGAUAUCAGGAGGAACACCGGUGGCGAAGGCGGAUCUCUGGGCCUUGCCUGACGCUGAGGCGCGAAAGCUAGGGGAGCGAACAGG